rnacentral:rRNA from 1 species
GUUGGUGGCUAUAGCGUGGGGGACACACCCGUUCCCAUCCCGAACACGGCCGUUAAGCCCCACAGCGCGGAUGGUACUGCCGGGGCAGCCCGGUGGGAGAGUACGUCGCCGCCAACG